CCUACGGGUGGCAGCAGUGGGGAAUAUUGGGCAAUGGGCGCAAGCCUGACCCAGCAACGCCGCGUGAAGGAAGAAGUCUUUCGGGUUGUAAACUUCUUUUCUCAGGGACGAAGCAAGUGACGGUACCUGAGGAAUAAGCCCCGGCUAACUACGUGCCAGCAGCCGCGGUAAUACGUAGGUGGCAAGCGUUAUCCGGAUUUACUGGGUGUAAAGGGCGUGUAGGCGGGACUGCAAGUCAGAUGUGAAAACCAGGGGCGCAACCUGUGGCCUGCAUUUGAAACUGUAGGGCUGGAGUACAGGAGAGGCAGGUGGAAUUCCUAGUGUAGCGGUGAAAUGCGUAGAUAUUAGGAGGAACACCAGUGGCGAAGGCGGUUUGCUGGACAGCAACUGACGCUGAGGCGCGAAAGCGUGGGGAGCAAACAGGAUUAGAUACCCCAGUAGUC
rnacentral:rRNA from 1 species